UGCCNCNCCAGCACACACCUUCGGGUCUAGCGGGGGACGGGUUAGUAACGCGUGGGAAUAUACCCUUCACUACNGAAUAGCCUCGGGAAACUGGGAGUAAUACCGUAUACGCCCUUUUGGGGAAAGAUUUAUCGGUGAAGGAUUAGCCCGCGUCUGAUUAGAUAGUUGGUGGGGUAAUGGCCUACCAAGUCUACGAUCAGUAGCUGGUUUGAGAGGAUGAUCAGCAACACUGGGACUGAGACACGGCCCAGACUCCUACGGGAGGCAGCAGUGGGGAAUCUUANACAAUGGGCGCAAGCCUGAUCUAGCCAUGCCGCGUGAGUGACGAAGGCCUUAGGGUCGUAAAGCUCUUUCGCCAGAGAUGAUAAUGACAGUAUCUGGUAAAGAAACCCCGGCUAACUCCGUGCCAGCAGCCGAGG
rnacentral:rRNA from 1 species